rnacentral:misc_RNA from 1 species
AAGUCGUAACAAGGUUUCCGUAGGUUCAGGGGAAGGAUCAUUAACACGUAUCCAACGUUAAACUCCCCGUGAACCUUUGUUGCAGUCGUGCCCUCCGUUGGAAAUACGCAAUCCAUGGUACAUCAUCGGCGAACAGUUUUGAUCCAGGGACUUCGUUGGUCUGGCUAAAAAGACGCGAGGCAAGUGGUCUGGCAUCCCUCUGCUUGUUAGUGUCUGAAAGUGUCACUAGCUCUGUAAGGAUGGCGCAGUGACGAUCGCUAGAGGCCGACACAGGGGGCGACUGGAUCACUGGGUUUUAGAUCAUGAAAACGGGCCUGCAUUGUGCGGUUACCAAACUUCGACCAACUGUUACAAUGGAUAUCUUGGUUCUC